AUUGAACGCUGGCGGCAGGCCUAACACAUGCAAGUCGGGCGAGUGGCGGACGGGUGAGUAAUGUAUGGGGAACUGCCUGUUGGAGGGGGAUAACUACUUGAAACGGUAGCUAAUUCCGCAUACUAUCAGUUGAACCCAUGUGGGAUUAGCUUGUAGGUAAGUUAACGGCUUACCUAGGCGACGAUCCCUAGCUGGUCUGAGAGGAUGAUUGGCCACAUUGGGACUAGGACACGGCCCAGACUCCUACGGUAGGCAGCAGUGGGGAAUAUUGGAAAUGGGGCGCAAGCCUACUGCAGCCAGGCGGCGGAUAGGAGGAAGGCCUGCGGGUUGAAAAGUACUUUCAGUCGGGAGACGUUACCGCCAGAGAAAGCACCGGCUAACUCCGUGCCAGCAGCCGCGGUAAUAC
rnacentral:rRNA from 1 species